GCCCGUGUAGCUCAGAUGGUAGAGCUUCGUGCUUUUACCACGACUGUCGCGGGUUCGAUUCCCGUCGUGGGCA